CUCACACAAAAGAAGCACCAGGGCAUAGAUUAAACCCUCUGGAGAGAUGGGAGUUUUCCAAAUGGCCUCGUAAAGGGAGAAACGCGUGUUGAGAAGAGAAAGCUCCUUUGUUUUGGAUAGCAGCUGUAAUCUCCACAUCAAGCACAUGUUGGAAUUCGUCAGCUACGAGUCUGAGCUCCCAUUGCCAGAUGGAGGGGGAUCACACUGGCCUAAUGUGGGUGUGUACCUUCAGGCAUAAUAAGACCAGACAUCACAAAAUUUAAGCUGGACAAAUUCGUAUUAGAAACAAGAUACACA